rnacentral:tRNA from 1 species
GAGGGUAUGGCUCAGUGGUAGAGUGUGUACUUAGCAUGCAUAAGGUCCUGGGUUCAAUCCCCAGUACCUCCA